AAAAAUGUCACCCACAGUAGUUAGAGAACACUAUGGCAAAAAUUGUUCCAAUGGAGACGAGGCAGUCGAUGUUUGAGGAGCCGUCCAGUGGAUCGAAGCACACGAUGUAUUUUCCCUGUCAGCACACAGGAGGUGAAGGAGGACUUGAUCAUGUUGAUGACCAUGUCAUUGGACAGGACGUCCAGCUUCUUCACCUGGUCUCCUGUCACGUUGGUGCUUCCAGCGAUGCCAAAUCUUCAGAGACAGAAAGAAAGAAAGAGAGGACAAGAUGAGGCCCUCUUUAUCCACCUGCACUGUAAAGUUCUGCUUAACUUAAAGUACGACCCCUCUUUAAAAAGCAUUUUCUGAACCUCAAUGAUUAAUAAAACAAAGACUAGAGAAAGGAGCUGAAGUUUUUAUAUAAAAACAACAAAACUAUCCCCCCAUGUGUCAAAACCAAACCAUUGAAUAUGGAUAAAACCGUCAUUAUAGACUCAAACACAGAGGGAUUAUAGAUUUGUCAAUGCCUUUGUGUAACCAAAAAGUAGGCGCAAUAAGAUAAUAGGGAUGGAAACAUUUAACAAAACACACACACACAAAAGAAGGAACUCAGACGGUGCUGUAGUGGGUCUCAGAAAUAGUUAAGAAUAGGAAGCACAGAAUGAACUGUGGUAUUGGUAUCGUGACAAAUAGUGAGCUAUGUUUUAACAAACAAAAUACAUUUUUAAAGUCAUGAAAUUUGUGAUGUU